rnacentral:rRNA from 1 species
GUAGUUAGCCGGGGCUUUCUUACAGGGUACCGUCACUUCUUCGUCCCCUGCGACAGAGGUUUACAAUCCGAAAACCUUCUUCCCUCACGCGGCGUUGCUGGGUCAGGCUUGCGCCCAUUGCCCAAUAUUCCCCACUGCUGCCUCCCGUAGGAGUCUGGACCGUGUCUCAGUUCCAGUGUGGCCGAUCAGCCUCUCAGCUCGGCUACCCAUCGUCGGCUUGGUGGGCUGUUAUCUCACCAACUACCUAAUGGGACGCGAACCCCUCUAAAAGCGAUAAAUCUUUGACCUCUUCCCGAUGCCGGGUUGUGGUCUUAUGCGGUAUUAGCAGUUGUUUCCACCUGUUAUUCCCCACUCUUAGGCAGGUUGUUCACGCGUUACUCACCCGUGCGCCACUAGAAUUAUCAAUUCCAUCCGAAAACUUCCUUAAUAAUCCCCGUUCGACUUGCAUGUGUUAGGCACGCCGCCAGCGUUCGUCCUGAGCACUGAUACAACUACUGA